UUACAUUCAUUGGAAUUGGAUUGGAAGAACCAUGGAGAGCAUCUCGCGUAAGAUUUACUUUCCUAGAGGGGUGUCAAUGUAAAUAGCGAGUUACCGAGGGGUAUGCAAAAGAACAUGAAGUCCUUUAUCUUUCUUUUCUUUUCUUUUCUUUUUUUUUUCUUUUUCUUUUUUUCCCACCCAAAAAAGAAAUCGAGGAGGGGGGAGGAAUAAAAGCACCAUUGUAGUGUAGCAAAACGAGAAAAUAAAUUUUUUAAAAAAAUAAAAAAAGCAGCACAAUAAAGGGCAAAAGAGAGAAAACAAAGAAGCUAGAGCAGGCUCUGCCCUUGCGAAAGCUCCUGCAACCCCCCCGCCCCCCCCCCGUCUUCUUCUAAUCCUUUCUUUCCUCACCAUCAUCACAUUUCUCUCUUAAGCUAGGGCCCCAAAGGUUAAGCUUUACUUAUCUUCAACACAAAACUACGCCUCCUCUCACACACACACACACAAACACACACACACUCUCUCUCUCUCUGUAACAUCUCUCUCUCUCUCUCUCUCUCUCUCUAGGACAAGAACAAGAACAAGAACAAUCUCUCUCUGUGGUUCAUCACUUGAGCUCCUCUGAAAACCCAACAAGGGGUUCUGUUUGGUGGUUUUUUCUGCAUCUUGGGUACCAUUUCCCUCUGAUUUUGAGACUUGGUGGCACUCAGAUCUGUGAAGCUUUUGCUUGUUUUGAGAGUGAAUAUAAAUUGGUCGGGUUGGUCUCCUUGGUGGCUUA
rnacentral:lncRNA from 1 species